rnacentral:rRNA from 1 species
UAGGGGGUAAUAGUCCCGUAAGUGAAAACUAUGAUAAUCAGUUCUGCACCAGAGUACCACGAGACACGUGAAACCUUGUGGGAAGCAGGGAGGACCACCUCCCAAGGCUAAAUACUACCUGAUGACCGAUAGUGAAGCAGUACCGUGAGGGAAAGGUGAAAAGAACCCCGGGAGGGGAGUGAAAUAGAACCUGAAACCAUGUGCCUACAACCGAUCAAAGCACCUUAUGUGUGUGAUGAUGUGCUUUUUGUAGAACGAGCCAACGAGUUACGGUAUGUAGCAAGGUUAAGUACUUAAGGUACGGAGCCGAAGGGAAACCGAGUCUUAAUAGGGCGACUAGUUGCAUGCUGUAGACCCGAAACCGGGUGACCUAUCCAUGGCCAGGUUGAAGCGAGGGUAAAACCUCGUGGAGGACCGAACCACGUUGCUGUUGAAAAAGCAUGGGAUGAGCUGUGGAUAGCGGAGAAAUUCCAAUCGAACUCGGAUAUAGCUGGUUCUCCUCGAAAUAGCUUUAGGGCUAGCGUCGGAAAAUGUGAGUAGUGGAGGUAGAGCACUGAAUAGGCUAGGGGGCAUAGCGCUUACCGAACCUUAUCAAACUCCGAAUGCCAUAUACUAUCAGUCCGGCAGUCAGACUGUGAAAGAUAAGUUCCAUGGUCAAAAGGGAAACAGCCCAGAUCGUCAGCUAAGGUCCCAAAGUGUAAGUUAAGUGGAAAAGGAUGUGGGAUUUCUAAGACAACUAGGAUGUUGGCUUAGAAGCAGCCACUCAUUAAAAGAGUGCGUAAUAGCUCACUAGUCAAGAGAUCCUGCGCCGAAAAUGUCCGGGGCUCAAACUUACCACCGAAGCUACGGGUUCACAAUUUAUUGUGAGCGGUAGAGGAGCGUCGUAAUCGGGCUGAAGUCGUACCGUAAGGAGCGGUGGACUGAUUACGAGUGAGAAUGUUGGCAUUAGUAGCGAGAUGUAGGCGAGAAUCCUACAGGCCGAAUAUCUAAGGUUUCCUGAGUAAAGUUUGUCUUCUCAGGGUUAGUCGGGACCUAAGGCGAGGCCGAAAGGCGUAGUCGAUGGACAAUUGGUUGAUAUUCCAAUACCACUAUAAUCGUUAUUAUCGAUGGUGUGACGGAGAAGGAUAGGAUGUGCCAGCUAUUGGAUGCUGGUCUAAGCGUUAAGGGAGUCAGAGUAGGCAAAUCCGCUCUGGCAAUUCUGAGGCGUGAUGGGGAAGGUUCUACGGAACCGAAGUAUCUGAUUUCAUGCUUCCAAGAAAAGCAUCUAGAGAGAGAAGUAGUGCCCGUACCGCAAACCGACACAGGUAGAUGAGGAGAGAAUCCUAAGGCCGACGGAAGAAUUGCAGUUAAGGAACUAGGCAAAUUGACCCCGUAACUUCGGGAGAAGGGGUGCCUGAGAAAUCAGGCCGCAGAGAAUAGGCACAAGCAACUGUUUAACAAAAACACAGGUCUCUGCUAAAGCGAAAGCUGAUGUAUAGGGGCUGACGCCUGCCCGGUGCUGGAAGGUUAAGGGGAACACUUAGUGGUAACGCGAAGGUGUGAACUUAAGCCCCAGUAAACGGCGGCCGUAACUAUAACGGUCCUAAGGUAGCGAAAUUCCUUGUCAGGUAAGUUCUGACCCGCACGAAUGGCGUAAUGACUUGUGCACUGUCUCAACUGCAAAUCCGGCGAAGUUGUAGUGCGAGUGAAGAUGCUCGCUACCCGCGAUUGGACGGAAAGACCCCGUAGAGCUUUACUGUAGCUUAGCAUUGAAUUUCGGUAUUGUCUGUACAGGAUAGGUGGGAGACUGGGAAACUAGGGCGUCAGCCUUAGUGGAGUCGUUGUUGGGAUA